GCCACGCCGUCGCGUUCGACGCCGCGUAGUGGACCAGCGCCUCGGCGACGUCCGCCGGGACCCCCUGAUCACACUCCUCCCGCGCCGGCUGAUGACGAUGCUGCUGCUGCUGUGCGCCGUGGACGACGACGGGAGCCGAGGCAGCGGCGGAGAGCGUGCGGAGGAUGAGGAGGAGGAGGAAGGCGGAGGCGGAGGCAGCGGAGAGGAGGAGGAGGCGGCGAGGGGUGAGGUGGUGCUUGAGCUUGGCCUUGGCGGAGACGAGGUGGCUCCUGAGCUUCGCCCUGCGCGCGUGCAUGGGGCUCGCCAUUGCACCUCCUCCUCUAUGCGCUCUCCUUCCUGC
rnacentral:lncRNA from 1 species